rnacentral:rRNA from 1 species
GACGAACGCUGGCGGCGCGCUUAACACAUGCAAGUCGAGCGAGAACCAGGUCUUCGGACCUGGGAAAGCGGCGAACGGGUGAGUAACACGUGAGUAAUCCACCCUCGGCACCGGGAUAGCCCGGGGAAACUCGGAUUAAUACCGGAUGGCCCAACAGCUCUUCGGGGCGGUUGGAAAAGGUAGCUUCGGCCUCCGGCCGAGGACGAGCUCGCGGCGGAUUAGCUUGUUGGUGGGGUAAUGGCCUACCAAGGCGACGAUCCGUAGCUGGUCUGAGAGGACGAUCAGCCACACUGGGACUGAGACACGGCCCAGACUCCUACGGGAGGCAGCAGUGGGGAAUCUUGCGCAAUGGGCGAAAGCCUGACGCAGCGACGCCGCGUGAGGGAAGAAGGCUUUCGGGUUGUAAACCUCUUUCAGGAGGGACGAAGCUACUCGGGUUAAUAGCCCAGAGGGUGACGGUACCUCCAGAAGAAGCCCCGGCUAACUACGUGCCAGCAGCCGCCGUAAGAC